UACAGAGGGGGCAAGCGUUGUUCGGAAUUACUGGGCGUAAAGGGCGCGUAGGCGGCCCGCUAAGUCGAAACGUGAAAUCCCCCGAGCUCAACUCGGGAACUGCGUCCGAUACUGGCGGGCUUGAAUCCGGGAGAGGGAUGCGGAAUUCCAGGUGUAGCGGUGAAAUGACGCAGAUAUCAGGAGGAACACCGGUGGCGAAGGCGGGUCUCUGGGCCGAAUACUGACGCUGGAGGAGCGAAAGCGUGGGGAGCGAACAGG
rnacentral:rRNA from 1 species